rnacentral:rRNA from 1 species
AGGCUGAUACUCAAAGGAAUUGCCGGGGUCCCGCACAAGACGGUGGAGCAUGUGGUUUAAUUCGAAGCAACGCGAAGUACCUUACCAGGUCUCGACAUCCUCUGACAGCCCUAGAGAUAGGGCUUCUCCUUCGGGAGCAGAGUGACAGGUGGUGCAUGGUUGUCGUCAGCUCGUGUCGUGAGAUGUUGGGUUAAGUCCCGCAACGAGCGCAACCCUUGAUUCUUAGUUGCCAUCAUUAAGUUGGGCACUCUAAGGUGACUGCCGGUGACAAACCGGAGGAAGGUGGGGAUGACGUCAAAUCAUCAUGCCCCUUAUGACCUGGGCUACACACGUGCUACAAUGGACGGUACAAAGAGCUGCAAGACCGCGAGGUGGAGCUAAUCUCAUAAAACCGUUCUCAGUUCGGAUUGUAGGCUGCCACUCGCCUACAUGA